UACAGCGGUCCCAAGCGUUGUUCGGAUUCAUUGGGCGUAAAGCGCGCGUAGGCGGUUACACAAGUUUGAUGUGAAAGCCCUCGGCUUAACUGAGGAAGUGCAUCCAAAACUGUGCAGCUAGAGUACUAAAGAGGGUCGCGGAAUUCCCGGUGUAGAGGUGAAAUUCGUAGAUAUCGGGAGGAACACCGGUGGCGAAGGCGGCGACCUGGGUAGAUACUGACGCUGAGGCGCGAAAGCGUGGGGAGCAAACAGG
rnacentral:rRNA from 1 species